rnacentral:tRNA from 1 species
UUUGCUAUAGCUUAAUUUUUAAAGUAUAAGAUUCUUACUCUUAGGAUGUUGGAUAACUAGCAAGA